rfam:Chlorocebus sabaeus isolate 1994-021 chromosome 12, whole genome shotgun sequence.
GCCGGGCGCGGUGGCUCAAGCCUGUAAUCCCAGCACUUUGGGAGGCCGAGACGGGCGGAUCACGAGGUCAGGAGAUCAAGACCAUCCUGGCUAACCCGGUAAAACCCCGUCUCUACUAAAAAAAUCCAAAAAACUAGCCGGGCGAGGUGGCGGGCGCCUNNNNNNNNNNAGGCGCCCGCCACCUCGCCCGGCUAGUUUUUUGGAUUUUUUUAGUAGAGACGGGGUUUUACCGGGUUAGCCAGGAUGGUCUCGAUCUCCUGACCUCGUGAUCCGCCCGUCUCGG